GCUGGGUGGCUCAGUCGGUUAAGCAUCUGACUUCGGCUCAGGUCAUGAUCUCGCAGUUCGUGGGUUCAAACCCAACAUCCGGCU
rnacentral:tRNA from 1 species